AAUCAACGCUGGCGGCGUGCCUAACACAUGCAAGUCGCACGAGAAAGGGACUUCGGUCCUGAGUACAGUGGCGCACGGGUGAGUAACACGUGAAUGAUCUACCUUCGAGUGGGGAAUAACUGAGAGAAAUCUUAGCUAAUACCGCAUAAUACCUACGGGUCAAAGCAGCAAUGCGCUUGAAGAGGAGUUCGCGGCAGAUUAGUUAGUUGGCAGGGUAAGGCCUACCAAGACGAUGAUCUGUAUCCGGCCUGAGAGGGCGCACGGACACACUGGAACUGAAACACGGUCCAGACUCCUACGGGAGGCAGCAGUGGGGAAUUUUGCGCAAUGGGGGAAACCCUGACGCAGCAACGCCGCGUGGAGGAUGAAAUCCCUU
rnacentral:rRNA from 1 species